CUCUAUAGGAAGAACAAUAUACUAUUGAUGGAGUUAUCCUGGAGCUAUCAAUAUUGAUGGAGCUAUCAGUAUAUUGUAUAUUCGGUGCACGCAUAUAAUGCGAGUGUUGUUUUGUGUCUUUUGUAUGUUAAUCCAUUGGAGAAGUUCCCCUCCCCCUCUACAGGCUACAGACAAUAGUACUUUUACUUUUACUUUGUACUUCAAGUAUUUUUUAAGGAUACUUUGUACGUAAGUACGUUUUCCUUCCAGUACUUUUUACUCUUACUCAAGUCGUUUUAUUGUUAAUUACUUCUACUUUUACUCGAGUACAAAUUCAAAGUAAUUUAGGCACCACUGUCAGGAAACUUAGCCUAAGGUAUACGUGGAAGCUGCCCAAUUUUACACUGACUGGAGGGCUAGACCCCCCCCUCGUACCCUAAUGGUGUUGGACAAUGCUUAAACGGGCUUCAACGAGUCCUAAAAAUAGGUGCGUGUGCAUCAUUAACGUUUCGAGUGUGUAUACGUACGCGCGGCCUUACAGAUCCUCAAAGAUAAACGUCAAGCAGUCAUUAAAAUAUUUCCUGCUAUACUGAAAUUGUGGGAAGAAGUAUAGUUUUGUCACGCUUUGUUACGGGUGUACAUUUCAAGCUCUAGAUUAACAAAAUAAAUGUGAAGGAGUUUGGUGAGUGUUCCAACUAUGUUUUAACUUCAAUAGAACACAUGAUAGUGUUGGGAGAGCAUUAAGAACAGCUAAGCAAGGUCGCGUGACCUCAGUCUUAUCACCUUUUUUUGUAAUCUCGUUCCAGAAACUUGGGUGUUCGAGCUUAAAAU